rnacentral:rRNA from 1 species
UACGGGGGAGCAAGCGUUGUUCGGAUUUACUGGGCGUAAAGGGCGCGUAGGCGGCGCAACAAGUCACUUGUGAAAUCUCCGGGCUUAACCCGGAGCGGUCAAGUGAGUACUGUCGAGCUCGAGUCCGGGAAGGAGGCGAGUGGAAUUCCUGGUGUAGCGGUGAAAUGCGCAGGUAUCAGGAGGAACACCAAUGGCGAAGGCGGUUCUCCUGGGCGAUGCCUGACGCUGAGGAGCGAAAGCGUGGGGAGCGAACAGG